AGUGAACGCUGGCGGUAGGCCUAACACAUGCAAGUCGAACGGCAGCACAGUAAGCGCUUGCUCUUACGGGUGGCGAGUGGCGGACGGGUGAGGCAUACAUCGGAAUCUACUUUUUCGUGGGUGAUAACGUAGGGCAACUUACGCUAAUACCGCAUACGACCUACGGGUGAAAGCAGGGGAUCUUCGGACCUUGCGUGAUUGAAUGAGCCGAUGUCGGAUUAGCUAGUUGGCGGGGUAAAGGCCCACCAAGGCGACGAUCCGUAGCUGGUCUGAGAGGAUGAUCAGCCACACUGGAACUGAGACACGGUCCAGACUCCUACGGGAGGCAGCAGUGGGGAAUAUUGGACAAUGGGCGAAAGCCUGAUCGAGCAAUGCCGCGUGGGUGAAGAAGGCCUUCGGGUUGUAAAGCCCUUUUGUUGGGAAAGAAAAGCAGCAGGUUAAUACCCGGCUGUUCUGACGGUACCCAAAGAAUAAGCACCGGCUAACUUCGUG
rnacentral:rRNA from 1 species